rnacentral:rRNA from 1 species
GAUCCUGGCUCAGGAUGAACGCUAGCUACAGGCUUAACACAUGCAAGUCGAGGGGAAACGGCAUCAAGCGCUUGCGCCUGAUGGACGUCGACCGGCGCACGGGUGAGUAACGCGUAUCCAACCUGCCCCACACUAAGGGAUAACCCGCAGAAAUGUGGACUAAUACCUUAUAUUUUCCACCAAGGGCAUCGUCGAUGGAACAAAGAUUUAUCGGUAUGGGAUGGGGAUGCGUCCGAUUAGGUUGUUGGG